GGUGAACGCUGGCGGCGUGCCUAACACGAUGCAAGUCGGGCGGUGCAGUUUGAAGCUUCGGUGGAAAGCUGCAUAGCGGCGGACGGGUGAGGAAAACGUAGGAACGUGCCCCUUGGAGUUGGAUAGCCACGGGAAACUGUGGGUAAACCGACAUAGACUCGAGAGAGUAAAGGCCGAAAGGCGCCAAGGGAGCGGCCUGCGGCCCAUCAGGUAGUUGGUAGUGUAAAGGACUACCAAGCCGACGACGGGUAGCCGGUCUGAGAGGAUGGCCGGCCACAAGGGCACUGAGAGACGGGCCCUACUCCUACGGGAGGCAGCAGUGGGGGAUUUUGGACAAUGGGCGAAGGCCUGAUCCAGCGACGCCGCGUGGAGGACGAAGCCCUUCGGGGUGUAAACUCCUUUUCUCAGGGAAAAAGGAUGAUGGUACCUGAGGAAUAAGCCCCGGCUAACUACGUG
rnacentral:rRNA from 1 species